rnacentral:rRNA from 1 species
GUGGGGAAUCUUGGACAAUGGGCGCAAGCCUGAUCCAGCCAUGCCGCGUGGAUGAUGAAGGCCUUAGGGUUGUAAAAUCCUUUCGCCGAGGACGAUAAUGACGGUACUCGGAGAAGAAGCUCCGGCUAACUUCGUGCCAGCAGCCGCGGUAAUACGAAGGGGGCUAGCGUUGUUCGGAUUUACUGGGCGUAAAGCGCGUGUAGGCGGGUCGUUAAGUUGGGGGUGAAAUCCCGAGGCUCAACCUCGGAACUGCCUUCAAAACUGGCGACCUGGACUCAAGUAGAGGCAAGUGGAAUUGCGAGUGUAGAGGUGAAAUUCGUAGAUAUUCGCAGGAACACCAGUGGCGAAGGCGACUUGCUGGACUUGUAGUGACGCUGAGACGCGAAAGCGUGGGGAGCAAACAGGAUUAGAUACCCGGGUAGUCC